rnacentral:misc_RNA from 1 species
AUCAGAAGUACAAAUGGCUUGCUCACAUGGCAUGUUAUCAAUUCCCAACCUUUGCAGGUGGAAGGAACAUCUUAUAGCCAAAUCCCCUAUAUGCCUAUUUUCACCCUUACCAAUCUCAUACCCAGAGUCACAAUCAAAUUCAACAUGCCAAGAAUUUUUUUUUUCCUUCUAGCUUCCCAUGGGUCUAGGCGCAACAUCUAUAAUCCAUGUUUUGGCAAAUAAUCUUUUCCUAUGCAUCCUAUUCAUAAUCAUAAUCCUAAUCUCCUCAACCAUAGAAAUUAUAGCUUUACACCUAGUAUCCGGUGUCCAUCCAUUAAAGGUCUCUGGAAGGUUAUUGUUGACUACGUCACACAUAGGGCUGACCCUAAAGAAAGCCUUGCACUGGGUACAGUCAUUGUAAUGGGCAAGUCUUUCACCUAUCGUUUACCUAUAUCAUCCCAUAGCAAUUGUUCAUCAAAAUCUUCAAGAAAAUUGAUCUAGUUUUCCUCCAAAACUAUUUUUUCAAUCCAAUACCUCUCCAAUUUUUGCACCACCUUGCACACAUCUUAUGCUCAGCAUUUGAGAAAACAUGCUGUACUGCAUUUAUCAAAACCUACGGUACAUAGAAAAAAGUGCUAAACAAAAUUAGCAAUAUCAAUA